GAUGAACGCUGGCGGCGUGCCUAAUACAUGCAAGUCGAGCGAACGGACGAGAAGCUUGCUUCUCUGAUGUUAGCGGCGGACGGGUGAGUAACACGUGGAUAACCUACCUAUAAGACUGGGAUAACUUCGGGAAACCGGAGCUAAUACCGGAUAAUAUUUUGAACCGCAUGGGUCAAAAGUGAAAGACGGUCUUGCUGUCACUUAUCGAUGGUUCCGCGCUGCAUUAGCUAGUUGGUAAGGUAACGGCUUACCACGGCAACGAUGCAUAGCCGACCUGAGAGGGGGAUCGGCCACACUGGAACUGAGACACGGUCCAGACACCUACGGGAGGCAGCAGUAGGGAAUCUACCGAAAUGGGCGGAAGCCUGCCGGAGCAACGCCGGGUGGGUGAUGAAGGUCUUCGGAUCGUAAAACUCUGUUAUUAGGGAAGAACAUAUGUGUAAGUAACUGUGCACGUCUUGACGGUACCUAAUCAGAAGGCCACGGCUAACUACGU
rnacentral:rRNA from 1 species